rnacentral:lncRNA from 1 species
UGCGGUAUCAUAGAAGGGACCCAGAAGCUGGACUUGACAUUCCCUGUGGGUCCCUUCCAACUUGGGAUACUCCAUGAUUCUGUGAAGGUGCUGGCUACUUAUUUUCUGCUAUCUGAUAUUUGUCCUCUUCAUUAUCAGAAAUGCCCUUCAGAAGAGGUUCUUCCUUAGAUAUUGAAGAUCAGAUCUGAUUCAAUAAGGUAGGGUAAGAGGCAUAUAGAGAAAUCAAAUAAUCUAUCCUGAGAGCAUGCAAGCACUCUAGUAAUAAAAUCCCAGUGAACCCUGGCUAUAACUCUUUUGAUGUCCUCAUCAGUGGCCACAGUCCUCCAAGGAUUGAUGGGUAGAUGCUGUGGUGGGGUCCAGGCAGCUUUGUGGAAAAGUCUCCAAUGGUCUGGUAGGAUGAGAAGGUCCAGGGGUAGUUUGGAAUACGAGGAGAAGCAUCACCUCCCAAGACGGUAAACCUACUGAAAAGACUAUUCAAAUUCCAGAAGGAC